rnacentral:rRNA from 1 species
UACGUAGGGUGCGAGCGUUGUCCGGAAUUACUGGGCGUAAAGAGCUCGUAGGUGGUUUGUCGCGUUGUUCGUGAAAACCUGAGGCUUAACCUUGGGCGUGCGGGCGAUACGGGCAGACUGGAGUACUGCAGGGGAGACUGGAAUUCCUGGUGUAGCGGUGGAAUGCGCAGAUAUCAGGAGGAACACCGGUGGCGAAGGCGGGUCUCUGGGCAGUAACUGACGCUGAGGAGCGAAAGCUAGGGGAGCAAACGGG